UACGUAGGUGGCAAGCGUUGUCCGGAUUUACUGGGCGUAAAGGAUGCGUAGGCGGACAUUUAAGUCAGAUGUGAAAUACCCGAGCUUAACUUGGGUGCUGCAUUUGAAACUGGGUGUCUAGAGUGCAGGAGAGGUAAGUGGAAUUCCUAGUGUAGCGGUGAAAUGCGUAGAGAUUAGGAAGAGCACCAGUGGCGAAGGCGACUUACUGGACUGUAACUGACGCUGAGGCAUGAAAGCGUGGGGAGCAAACAGG
rnacentral:rRNA from 1 species